rnacentral:rRNA from 1 species
AGAGUUUGAUCCUGGCUCAGGACGAACGCUGGCGGCGCGCCUAACACAUGCAAGUCGAACGGAGUUAAGAGGAGCUUGCUUUUCUUAACUUAGUGGCGAACGGGUGAGUAACGCGUGAGUAACCUGCCCUGGAGUGGGGGACAACAGUUGGAAACGACUGCUAAUACCGCAUAAGCCCACGGAGCCGCAUGGCUUUGAGGGAAAAGGAUUUAUUCGCUUCAGGAUGGACUCGCGUCCAAUUAGCUAGUUGGUGAGGUAACGGCCCACCAAGGCGACGAUUGGUAGCCGGACUGAGAGGUUGAACGGCCACAUUGGGACUGAGACACGGCCCAGACUCCUACGGGAGGCAGCAGUGGGGGAUAUUGCACAAUGGGGGAAACCCUGAUGCAGCGACGCCGCGUGGAGGAAGAAGGUUUUCGGAUUGUAAACUCCUGUCGUUAGGGACGAUAAUGACGGUACCUAACAAGAAAGCACCGGCUAACUACGUGCCAGCAGCCGCGGUAAAACGUAGGGUGCAAGCGUUGUCCGGAAUUACUGGGUGUAAAGGGAGCGCAGGCGGACCGGCAAGUUGGAAGUGAAAACUAUGGGCUCAACCCAUAGAUUGCUUUCAAAACUGCUGGCCUUGAGUAGUGCAGAGGUAGGUGGAAUUCCCGGUGUAGCGGUGGAAUGCGUAGAUAUCGGGAGGAACACCAGUGGCGAAGGCGGCCUACUGGGCACCAACUGACGCUGAGGCUCGAAAGUGUGGGUAGCAAACAGGAUUAGAUACCCUGGUAGUCCACACCGUAAACGAUGAUUACUAGGUGUUGGAGGAUUGACCCCUUCAGUGCCGCAGUUAACACAAUAAGUAAUCCACCUGGGGAGUACGACCGCAAGGUUGAAACUCAAAGGAAUUGACGGGGGCCCGCACAAGCAGUGGAGUAU